GUACGACAACACGGGAGUCCGGGGUUCGCCGGGCUGAGAGUGCGGGACGCCCCCGCUGACCGUCACACCUGAUCCGGAUCAUGCCGGCGAAGGAAGGAUGCGACCGACCCAUG
rnacentral:ncRNA from 1 species